AUCGAUCUUGGGUCAGUUUUGUAGUAUUUGCUAACAGUGACCAUCGUAUGGACUAAGGAAUUAAGAGCUUACACUCAAUCGGUUGUUGAGGGGGAGAAAGUAAACAACGUUUGGAAUAAGACAUCAUCUUCUGCCCCCUCUGCAUUAAGAGAGGAAAAAAGAAAGACGAAGUGCUCACAGUGAAGCCAGAGGAAAGCCAGAAGAUGGUUACAGAAGGAAAGUAGUUUGCAAGCUGGUCUGCUACUGUUGGCGAGCCACUGGAGGAUACUUGGUGACCAACUUGUUUUGGUCAUCGAUAGAGAUCGUCCAGGAGGGUGCUUGUCUGGGAAUGACCUUCAUGACCUCACCACCGCUCCGCCCCGGAAAUAUCAACCGCCAACCAGAAGCUCUGUACUACGGCCUACAGGAUGUGGUUGACUGGUCCCAGUGAUGGACAGGUGACCAGCCAGCCCCCUAGCUGCCCUCUCCUGCCGUGACUCCCACCCCUCCGCCCCC
ensembl:lncRNA